rnacentral:rRNA from 1 species
GGGUGAGUAACACGUGGAUAACCUACCUAUAAGACUGGGAUAACUUCGGGAAACCGGAGCUAAUACCGGAUAAUAUUUUGAACCGCAUGGUUCAAAAGUGUAAGACGGUCUUGCUGUCACUUAUAGAUGGAUCCGCGCUGCAUUAGCUAGUUGGUAAGGUAACGGCUUACCAAGGCAACGAUGCAUAGCCGACCUGAGAGGGUGAUCGGCCACACUGGAACUGAGACACGGUCCAG